ACGCUGGACUCCAACUCCCAUCAUCCUUUGCAAAUCGCCGUACCAGCAGUGGCUGAUGGGAACGGGAAUCUAGCAGCAUCUGGAGGGCCACAAUAAAGUACGGUAAUAAAGCAAAUCAAGUACAAUAACAGAACUCACAGAAAGCCACAAAAAGCUCAAGCAAACAAACAAUAAACCACAUGUGAUUUUUAAAAACAUUCUUCAGAAAUGGGUUUGGGUUUUUUUGAAACUCAGAAGCAGAAAUGCUCUGCCAUGGGUCCCUGCCAGCCUAAUACUGAUGAAAGAGGGAAGUGAUGGUUAAAGAAAAUGACCGUCCAUACAAGGAAACCGUGGUAGAGAUAGGCAGGUUUCUUAAGAAGGAACCUGUGGCCUUUCAGAGAUCAGCAUGAUCAAUUGUCACAAAGGGAUGGGAGAGAGAUUUGAUUCAGUUCCCACUUAAAGGCAAAUCUAUCAAAUCCAGAAUUUCCAAAAAAAGAGCUACCCUUUAACAUUUGCAUUUACCCAAAUUUUGCAAUGCGGUUCUCCAGACAAGUAGUGUUUCCAAAAUUGCAUCUCUUAAGGGAAAGUGUACAUAAAAAUACAUGUAUUUGUGAAAAUAAUACAAUACAGAGAUGCAUUAUAUCAGAGAAGAUUGCUAUAAAAGACGUGCACGUUAGUCAAAACUGUGUAUAAAAUGGGUUCAUUAGGAUAAAUUCACACUAAAAUGCUGAUGAAUUUUCAUGAUUUGAAAACAAAUUGCAAAUUGCUGGGAAAGGCGGGCAGCUGAAUUUAAGAUUGGAAAAUUGAGAAACUCAGAGAAUUGAAAUUGACAGAUUUGUCAGGCAUGAUGGGAGUUGUAGUACAACAACAGUGGGAGGGCUGCAGGUUCUCCACCCCUGUCCUAAAGCAAACCCUCACGUGACUGAAACAUGCUGGCUGUGUAAAACCAUGAGCUGUCUCAUGUCUAACACUGGAUUCUAGUUGAAGUCAUGUGUGUGGGGGAUGGCCAAAUUGUACUUCAGGAACAGGCUCAAACUGUUGAUCUGACUUUCCUGUUACGUGGCAGCAAAUCUGUGUGGCUGGCGAAGAGGCCGGAAUGAGAAUUAAGUAUACACGAUGUACCCC